GGGGGAUACACAAGUUCGUGGUGAAGCAGAGGAGCCUCCUCAUGGAAGAAGCCUGUGGAAGACGUACAAAUCUUCUUAUAGAUUAUGUUGAAGGAGGCGGCGCAAUUCAAUAUGCGAAAGUCAUGAUCCCUUUAAAGCAGACGUUAGGCGCAAAGAAAGAAGCUCAUUAACGAGAAUGAAAGAAUAAUUCACUCAUUAACGAGAAUGAAAGAAUAAUUCUGAUUUCAUCACCUUGUUUUUACGGAGUUCAAUACUAGAUUGAAGACGGAGGGAAAUCCCAGAUUUUGCUAGGUUUUGGGCCUAUAAAGUAGCAAGAAAUCAUGAAAAAUCAGUCAAAAUUAGACAAUUAUCGUAGCAUAUCAAUAUGAGAAAAAGUAUGAAAAAGAAGCAAAAAAGUCGGGAAAUAGCAAUUCAAGAAGAAAGCCUAGGACAGGGAAAAGAAAUGAACACUUCUAGUUUGAGUUUAUGGUCCGGAUACUGACAGGUCUAUUCUUUAUUCCGCUCCUGAAUAUGGAUAAUCCUACUUCGGUUAAUUACGGAUAGUCCUCCUUCGGUUAAUUACGGAUGGUCCUACGGAUAAAUCCUCCAGACUACUUCCUUCCAUAUGGAUGGUCCUACUUCGGUUAAUUACGGAUGGUCCUACUUCCAUAUGGAUAGUCCUACGGAUAAGAAUCCUGCGGACUCCGGACUACUU